rnacentral:rRNA from 1 species
AUACGGAGGAUCCGAGCGUUAUCCGGAUUUAUUGGGUUUAAAGGGUGCGCAGGAGGCCAUUUAAGUCAGCGGUUAAAUCGUGGGGCUCAACCCCAUUCUGCCGUUGAUACUGGGUGGCUUGAUUGCGGUCGAGGUUGGCGGAAUUCGUUGUGUAGCGGUGAAAUGCAUAGAUAUGACGAAGAACACCGAUUGCGUAGGCAGCUGACCAGACCGCAAAUGACGCUCAUGCACGAAAGUGCGGGGAUCGAACAGGAUUAGAUACCCUGGUAGUCCGCACAGUAAACGAUGAAUACUUGUUUUCGGCGAUAUAAUGUCGGAGGCAAAGCGAAAGCGAUAAGUAUUCCACCUGGGGAGUACGCCGGCAACGGUGAAACUCAAAUGAAUUGGCGGGG